AUUGAACGCUGGCGGCAUGCCUUACACAUGCAAGUCGAACGGUAACAGGUCUUCGGAUGCUGACGAGUGGCGAACGGGUGAGUAAUACAUCGGAACGUGCCUAGUAGUGGGGGAUAACUACUCGAAAGAGUGGCUAAUACCGCAUAAGAUCUACGGAUGAAAGCAGGGGAUCGCAAGACCUUGUGCUACUAGAGCGGCCGAUGGCAGAUUAGGUAGUUGGUGGGAUAAAAGCUUACCAAGCCGACUAUCUGUAGCUGGUCUGAGAGGACGAUCAGCCACACUGGGACUGAGACACGGCCCAGACUCCUACGGGAGGCAGCAGUGGGGAAUUUUGGACAAUGGGCGUAAGCCUGAUCCAGCAAUGCCGCGUGCAGGAUGAAGGCCUUCGGGUUGUAAACUGCUUUUGUACGGAACGAAAAGCCCCGGGUUAAUACCCUGGGGUCAUGACGGUACCGUAAGAAUAAGCACCGGCUAACUACGUGCCAGCAGCCGCCGCCG
rnacentral:rRNA from 1 species